rnacentral:lncRNA from 1 species
AGAGCCAAGGGCCAGCGCCUGCGCCCUGACCUCCCCACCGCAAACCUGCGGCUGCUGCCCUUCUCCUCCAGCUGACUCAAGAGCAUCCUGGGAGAUAGAGAAUAAUCAAAGGAAAAAAGAGGAGAGAACAGAGCAGAUAUGAAAGUGGAAAAGAAAUAGAAGGGCAAGGAGGAAGAGACAGAAAGAAGGAGGCAGGAGGAGCAAAAGAGAAAAACAGGAGUGUACAGUGUUGGGAAAAAAAAGGUGUUGGUAGGAGAGUUGUAUUGAAGUAAUACAUACAGGAGUCAGAAGAAACUACAAAGCAGCACUAGGAUGUUAC